rnacentral:rRNA from 1 species
AGAGUUUGAUCCUGGCUCAGAACGAACGCUGGCGGCGUGGAUAAGACAUGCAAGUCGAACGGGAUUUUAUUUGUAGCAAUACACGUAAAGUCUAGUGGCGUAAGGGUGCGUAACACGUGGGGAAUCUGCCGAGAAGUGGGGGAUAGCUCGCCGAAAGGCGAAUUAAUACCGCAUGUGGAUAGUGAAGGAUUCUUCGCGACUCCAAAGCCGGGGCAACCUGGCGCUUCUUGAUGAGCCCGCGGCCUAUCAGCUAGUUGGUAAGGUAACGGCUUACCAAGGCUAUGACGGGUAGCUGGUCUGAGAGGACGACCAGCCACACUGGAACUGAGACACGGUCCAGACACCUACGGGUGGCAGCAGUCGAGAAUUUUUCUCAAUGGGGGAAACCCUGAAGGAGCGACGC